rnacentral:rRNA from 1 species
CCUACGGGAGGCAGCAGUGAGGAAUAUUGGACAAUGGGCGGGAGCCUGAACCAGCCAAGCCGCGUGAGGGAAGAAGGUACAGCAUAUCGUAAACCUCUUUUGUCAGGGAACAAAGGCGGGGACUAGUCCCCGGAUGCGGGUACCUGAAGAAAAAGCAUCGGCUAACUCCGUGCCAGCCGCCGAGGUAAUACGGGGGAUGCGAGCGUUAUCCGGAUUUAUGGGGUUUAACGGGUGCGCGGGCGGCCUGUUAAGUCAGCGGUAAAAGCCCGGGGCUCAACCCCGGCGAGCCGUUGAAACUGGCGGGCUGGAGUUGGAGAGAGGGACGCAGAAUGCGCGGUGUAGCGGUGAAAUGCUUAGAGAUCUCGCAGAACCCCGAUUGCGAAGGCAGCGUACCGGCUCCACACUGACGCUGAGGCACGAAAGCGUGGGUAUCGAACAGGAUUAGAUACCCUAGUAGUC